rnacentral:rRNA from 1 species
UACGUAGGUGGCAAGCGUUGUCCGGAUUUACUGGGCGUAAAGAGCGCGCAGGCGGUCGUACAAGUCGCGUGUGAAAGCCCCCGGCUCAACUGGGGAGGGUCACGCGAUACUGCUCGACUCGAAGGCAGGAGAGGGAAGUGGAAUUCCCGGUGUAGUGGUGAAAUGCGUAGAUAUCGGGAGGAACACCAGUGGCGAAGGCGACUUCCUGGCCUGUUCUUGACGCUGAGGCGACGAAAGCUGAGGGUAGCAAACGGGG